GCAGUGAGUGUGCGCAGUGCAGUGCAAGAAAAAAAUUUCAUGCUGCAGAACGCAGAUAUCGGCAACGAAUAUUUCCAUCUAAAAUGGAUGAAAAUACAGACUACAGACCCGGGAAUAGUCGUUUUUCAUAAACUUUUCAAAUUCAAUUUCAAUAUUUUUACGCAGUUCCUGACUCGAUCUGACUAAGAAUGCAGCAAGUGCAUUUGCGUGUAAGACAUCUGCGUCCCAGCGUGCUCGCCGCAAUUUUAGCUCCCCACGCCAGGGAAGCCGAGUGGUACCGAAUUAAUCAUCAUGCCUUUCGUUGCGAAUAUUCUCCGAGCUACGCUGGCAAUUCAUGAGUUGCCUAAAGACUAUACAGGUCUUUUUUUAGGAUGUAGCAACACCGAUUGCCCUUCCAACAAAGCUCUCUUGAAUGAGUGUUGUGACAAUCCGUGCGUUGUGAAAAUUCAUGCAUUGGACAACUCGAAUUCUCGACUCGAUUUACAAUCAUGUGCUUCUGAUCCACCUGGAUACAUCGGUGAUAUCGAUUCUGGCUGUACACCAGGUGUGAGAAAAAGCUCGUUACUGCUGAGGUUUGCGGACAACACAUUCAACAGUAGUUACCUAACGAUGAUAGAUGUUGACAUCAAAAUAAGGACUAUAGAGGUUAAAGGAGACAGGGUGAAGCUGUAGGUAUGGGACACCACAGGACAGGAGGAACUCAGGACAAUAACGUCAAUGUAAUACAGGGGUACGCAUGGCGUAAUAUCAUUGGUUACGACGUUACCAGAGGUGACUCGUUUGCAGAUGUCAAACGAUGGCUACACAAGAUUGACCACAACUGCAAUACAGUCAAUAGGGUUCUCGUGGAUAACAAAAUCGAUGCUUCUAACCAAAAAGUUGUACUGACCGAGGAUACUGAACGUUUUGCCACUCUUUGAGAGAACUCUUUGAGAUCUCUGCUAAAGGCAACAUCAAUGUUCAAGAGGCGAUCCAGAGUAAUUCGACGACGACGUCACUAUAACAGCGGCAGAGUUAUCGGCGACUCCAACGGCAAUGAGAACCGCGAGUGGUUGGACCGGUGGCUCAACGAGAUUCAAUCCAGAGCAAAAUGCAAAAGCCGCGACGACGGGGAAAAACGGAGCUCGAGGACGAGGGAGUUAUAGAAACAGGAGUCGGAGCGAGAGAAAACAAUACACGGAGACGACCUGAACGACGAGCCAACGAAUCCCAUUGUCGAGCGGAAAGACAGAGAGGAAAAAAAAUGAUAAAAAUAUUUUUUUGUGUUUCAGGAUGCGAAGCACUAUGACACAUUACGAAAAAUGUAUUCACCUACGAGAAAGUCACCGAAAAUAAUACCGAUGGAUACUCCAGUUGAUGCGCAAGUGAUAGACGCGUCAGUGGGGGCAAUGGAAACUUGAGAUCGACAACUUUUUUCCUUUCGAUUCUAUGAAUAUGGAUUGAUCUGUAUUUUUCAAUAAACUUGUAAUUCAUCGUA